AUGCGCAAUAACUCCACCAGGUGGGCAAGUCUUUACAACCUCUUUGCCCGUUCGUUUGCUGGAUGCUGCCGGGCCCAAGCCUGCGUGGUCCUAGUGGCGGCUGCUUUAUUCAGGCGCAGUCCUUAGUGUCUGGGACUAAAGUCCCUUAAGAUGUUGGUAGUGUGGAGCAUGCUAGUGCAAGCUGCAGCUCCACCUGUAUGUAGUAUCCCCGCUGCCUAUAGAGCAGCAAUCUUGGCUCUAAAUCAGCAGGGAUUUAGAAAGAACUCGUCCCCGUGGUGUAAGAAAAUUCAGGCGUACAGAAAGAGUCAGUGUCAUCUAGGAAGGAAGAAUAGUGGAGCGCUUCAGGAACUACAAAAUAGACUGAGGAGACUUCAUGAUUUUAGACUUUUCUGUAUAUCACCUUCACCCUAGAGAUGAGGUCUACAUCAAGAACUUCCAGGGGACGAAAGAACUCUACCUCCUUGGGAAGCUCUGUUCCAAGUGCUGCUGACCACCCCUACCAUGAUCAACAUCAGAGAAAGUUCAUGUGUCAAUUAUUGAUCCAGGUUUCAGAAGCACUACCUUUGAUUCAGCCUUCAUAAUGAAAAGGUAAAAAAAAAAAUGACAAUAAACCAAGGCAGUCACAUUUUAUUUAUUUCAAGUUGAUUUGUUCAUAUAUUAUAGCAAUUAAAAGCAGUCAAAAUUAAUUACAAAGAUCAAGUCAUUCAUUUGGGAAAAAACAAAAUUUA